AACGAACGCUGGCGGCAUGCCUAACACAUGCAAGUCGAACGAUGCCUUCGGGCAUAGUGGCGCACGGGUGCGUAACGCGUGGGAAUCUUCCUUUCGGUUCGGAAUAACUCAGGGAAACUUGAGCUAAUACCGGAUAACGUCGCAAGACCAAAGAUUUAUCACCGAAAGAUGAGCCCGCGUAGGAUUAGCUAGUUGGUGAGGUAAAGGCUCACCAAGGCGACGAUCCUUAGCUGGUCUGAGAGGAUGAUCAGCCACACUGGGACUGAGACACGGCCCAGACUCCUACGGGAGGCAGCAGUGGGGAAUAUUGGACAAUGGGCGAAAGCAUGAUCCAGCAAUGCCGCGUGAGUGAUGAAGGCCUUAGGGUUGUAAAGCUCUUUUACCCGGGAAGAUAAUGACGGUACCGGGAGAAUAAGCCCCGGCUAACUCCGUG
rnacentral:rRNA from 1 species